rnacentral:rRNA from 1 species
GAUGAACGCUAGCGGCAGGCCUAAUACAUGCAAGUCGAACGAGAUUAAGAGGCUUGCUUCUUAUGAAAGUGGCGCACGGGUGCGUAACGCGUAUGCAACCUACCUUAAUCAGGGGGAUAGCCCGAAGAAAUUCGGAUUAAGACCGCAUAAAAACACAGGAUAGCAUUAUCCAAUGUUCAAAUAUUUAUAGGAUUAAGAUGGGCAUGCGUGUCAUUAGCUAGUUGGCGGGGUAACGGCCCACCAAGGCGACGAUGACUAGGGGAUCUGAGAGGAUGACCCCCCACACUGGUACUGAGACACGGACCAGACUCCUACGGGAGGCAGCAGUAAGGAAUAUUGGUCAAUGGAGGGAACUCUGAACCAGCCAUGCCGCGUGCAGGAAGACAGCCCUCGGGGUCGUAAACUGCUUUUAUUCGGGAAUAAACCUUUCUACGUGUAGGAAGCUGAAGGUACCGAAGGAAUAAGGAUCGGCUAACUCCGUG